AGAGUUUGAUCCUGGCUCAGGACGAACGCUGGCGGCGUGCCUAAUACAUGCAAGUCGAGCGAGCUUGCCUAGAUGAUUUUAGUGCUUGCACUAAAUGAAACUAGAUACAAGCGAGCGGCGGACGGGUGAGUAACACGUGGGUAACCUGCCCAAGAGACUGGGAUAACACCUGGAAACAGAUGCUAAUACCGGAUAACAACACUAGACGCAUGUCUAGAGUUUGAAAGAUGGUUCUGCUAUCACUCUUGGAUGGACCUGCGGUGCAUUAGCUAGUUGGUAAGGUAACGGCUUACCAAGGCAAUGAUGCAUAGCCGAGUUGAGAGACUGAUCGGCCACAUUGGGACUGAGACACGGCCCAAACUCCUACGGGAGGCAGCAGUAGGGAAUCUUCCACAAUGGACGAAAGUCUGAUGGAGCAACGCCGCGUGAGUGAAGAAGGGUUUCGGCUCGUAAAGCUCUGUUGGUAGUGAAGAAAGAUAGAGGUAGUAACUGGCCUUUAUUUGACGGUAAUUACUUAGAAAGUCACGGCUAACUACGUGCCAGCAGCCGCGGUAAUACGUAGGUGGCAAGCGUUGUCCGGAUUUAUUGGGCGUAAAGCGAGUGCAGGCGGUUCAAUAAGUCUGAUGUGAAAGCCUUCGGCUCAACCGGAGAAUUGCAUCAGAAACUGUUGAACUUGAGUGCAGAAGAGGAGAGUGGAACUCCAUGUGUAGCGGUGGAAUGCGUAGAUAUAUGGAAGAACACCAGUGGCGAAGGCGGCUCUCUGGUCUGCAACUGACGCUGAGGCUCGAAAGCAUGGGUAGCGAACAGGAUUAGAUACCCUGGUAGUCCAUGCCGUAAACGAUGAGUGCCAAAUGUUGGGGAGGUUCCGCCUCUCAGUGCUGCAG
rnacentral:rRNA from 1 species